rnacentral:lncRNA from 1 species
GAAUAGAAUGUGAAGAGCUGUCCCUAAGAAUAGUCAUGAGCAAGUUGAAAGCCUAUGGGUGACAGUUAGAGACUGAGGCAGCAAAGGGAGCCUUGUGAUUGGUGUCUACUACAGGCCACCUGAUCAAGCAGAGCCUGUUGAUGAGGCCUUCCACCUCCAGCAACAGCAGGCCUUGAUGGUCAAACUGAAGAGCAAGAAGAAAAUGCGCAGUCUGUGGAAACUGGGACAUGUACUAUGAGAAAAAUCUAAGGAGACUGCUAGACUGUGUAGGGAUGGGGUCAGGAAAGCCAAGGCCCAGCUUGAAAUAAACUUGGCAAGGGAUGCCAAGAAGAACAAGGAAAGGAAAGUCCAGGAGGGCAUGACCUGCCUAGUGAGUGACACAGGCAAGCUGGUAACCACGUGUCUGCAAUAAGGUUUGCAGAGGUAAGGAAAACUGAAAGUAAUGAGAUGAUUACUGGAUGAAAUCAAGUGGAAGACUGAAGAUACAAGACUGAGCAUAAGAAUGCAUAUGACCUGAUUGGUAGAGCACUAAGUAUGACUUCACUGUGCUGCAGCACAGAUCUGGUACUGCUCUUGACUCUUGUUGGCUCUGACUACCAACAGAACUGCUCUCUGAUUAUCUCAAAACCUUUAUGAAGCAAAGAACACUGAGGUCACUGGCAUUCUAUGGGACACGUCUUCCUUCCUCAGAGGGCUUUUGGAACAACAGCUGUGAUUUUUCCUGGCUCAUAACAAUCAGCAGCCGUAAGGAAACUGCAGUCAGAAUGGAGGAGACAGAUCUGCUGAUGAAGCACAAGCCUGCUUGCUAUCUCAUCCCUCUCACAGACCCCUUUGUUGGCUCUGUACUGCUGAAAGGAGCAACAUGCAACAAGAACUGGGUUUUGUCAAUUGCAUAAGCAGAUAGAUCUAAAUAUGAAUUACACCCUAUUCAGUCUGCUAAAGUCAAUGGCAACUUUCCAGUUGUAGAGUAGGACUAAAGAAAGGAUCUGUUCAGCAAGAAAGGGAUUUCCAGGAUAAUCACUUUCCUGGGUAGACCUGCAGUGAUUAGUUUAUGUAGACUUUAGUUCUUAAGCUGCUUUCACGCUAUCUGGUUGCCUGCAUACCAUGAUGCUGAAUGUCACUUGUCAAAGGUUGUUACUUCACCGCUGGGUCAUUCAUGCUACUGGCCCUUGCAGAGAAAUGGAAA